GGGGAUGUGGCUCAAAGGUGGAGUGCUAGUCUUGCAUGCUUGAGGCCCUGGGUUCAAUCCUCAGCACCA
rnacentral:tRNA from 1 species